AGGGAAUGAAUUUGGGGUAUUUUGAGAAAGGAAUACGAUCCAUUAAUACCAAAUAUUUCAAGAUAUCAACCUGCAAAAAUAGAAUAUUUUCUUGCUCAAGGAAGAUUCAACCUCCAAGUAAGGAGGACUUGGGGUGGCAAAUCAUGUUUUUGUGCAAGAUAGGGAGGGUUUAAGCACGAAUUUCCGGCAUAACUCGAUGGAUAGUUGCUGAAACUAAAUCAAGUUUCCACAUACUGAGGUUUGAGGUAUUUCUUUGAGAUCUUGAGGACAAAACUAAAAACUUAAAGAGCAAUGCUUACAAGUUCGAUCUUAAGCAAAGAGUCUAUACAACUCUAGCUUUAGGUCAAUGAUCUUUUCCUCUUUCUUUUAAUUUUUUAAUAUCUUUGUAGCCAUGGUUCAAAAAGGUCAUUAUUUAUAUAAAGAUUGCGUGC
rnacentral:lncRNA from 1 species